rnacentral:rRNA from 1 species
CCUACGGGAGGCUGCAGUGGGGAAUAUUGGACAAUGGGGGGAACCCUGAUCCAGCCAUGCCGCGUGUGUGAAGAAGGCCCUCGGGUUGUAAAGCACUUUCAGUGAGGAAGAACGCCUGGUGGUUAAUACCCAUCAGGAAAGACAUCACUCACAGAAGAAGCACCGGCUAACUCCGUGCCAGCAGCCGCGGUAAUACGGAGGGUGCGAGCGUUAAUCGGAAUUACUGGGCGUAAAGCGCGCGUAGGUGGCUUGAUAAGCCGGUUGUGAAAGCCUCGGGCUCAACCUGGGAACGGCAUCCGGAACUGUCAAGCUAGUGUGCAGGAGAGGAAGGUAGAAUUCCCGGUGUAGCGGUGAAAUGCGUAGAGCUCGGGAGGAAUACCAGUGGCGAAGGCGGCCUUCUGGACUGACACUGACACUGAGGUGCGAAAGCGUGGGUAGCAAACAGGAUUAGAUACCCCGGUAGUC